CUGGACCUUGCAGCGAGUAGCAUGCCCGGAGAUUUUAGCCAGUGGAUAAUGAAGCAUUACGACCCGGAGAUUUCGCAGAUAGUCAUUUCAGAAAGGGGGAAGAUUCCUGUAGAUGCCGCUAGUGUCCGCAGGAUAUGGGGUUUGCCCAACAGGGGCAGGAAGGUGUGCUUCAAGAAUCGGCCUGAAAUCACAAAGGCAAUGUACAGUAUUUACAACAUCACAUCGAAGAACUUCCCAACCCUCACAGAAUGGUGCAAGAUGAUCGUAGACAUGGGAGGAUCUCAUGAUGAUGACUUUGUCCGCGCUUGGCUAGCUCUUGUUUUUUCGUGCUUCCUUGCCCCUUCAACUAGUUUGAGCAUUUCCCCAAAGAGUUUCCCGGCGGUCAUGGAUGUCAAUGGAAUAACGGAAACCAAUAUAUGUCAGUUUGUUGUUGAUCAAUUAAAGCUUGUGUUCACUUCGGGGUGUGCUAACAAGAAGGUUGUUUGUUGUUGUGUUUUCCACCUUGUUGUAAGUGCUUCAAGCUGUUUUGUUUUUUAA
rnacentral:rRNA from 1 species